rnacentral:ncRNA from 1 species
UUUAAGUUUUACUUAUAAGGAUUUAAAAUUUGACUAUAGUUUUAAGUAGUGUUAUAAUGAUGUUAUCUGUUUUGGAUUCAUUGAGUAGGCAAUAGGUUUUUACCUUGGCAUUUUGUCGUUUGUAUAAAUUUUGUUCCAGAAUAAUCGGCUAGACUUUGUAAACUUGAACUCUAAUUGAUGUUAGUUAGGGGUUUUAUUUUUUGUCUUGUUUUUUAGGGUGAAAUCAGAAAUUUUUGUUAUUAGUGCCCCUAAUCUUUAAGAUUUGAUGAAUAAGUCAGAUUAGUACCUGAUUAAACAAAAAUUAAAAGAGCAGGAGUAAAGUUAUGUUUAAACUGUAAGAGUAUUGGCAGGUUCUUAAAUUAUCUUUGGAGGUUGAGUAGUAAUUGAGAGCCCUCAUUAACAACUUUUACUGUGGGCGCAUGUAUGAUCGUUUAUUUUAUUCUUGAGGAUUGUAAUUUUAGAUGAGCUUGUCUCUGUUAAAAUAGAUAAAUAUUUGGUUUAUGUAGAAGAUUUAAUUUGACCUACAAUAUACUAUUUUGUGGAUACUUUACUAGUAAGAAGUUGAAAAUGUAAAAGACAGUAAGUUCUUUUUUAUGUAGAUCUGAAGUUUAUUUAAGAACGGUACAAAUCAUCCAUCAAUUGCCUAUAGGGGAGUAAGUUGUAGUAAAGUAGAGUUAGGGGAACCUGUCUCUAGUAGAUG